rnacentral:rRNA from 1 species
AACGAACGCUGGCGGCAGGCUUAACACAUGCAAGUCGAGCGCAUCCUUCGGGGUGAGCGGCGGACGGGUGAGUAACGCGUGGGAACGUGCCCUCUUCUACGGAAUAGCCUCGGGAAACUGAGAGUAAUGCCGUAUACGCACGCAAGGGGAAAGAUUUAUCGGAGGAGGAUCGGCCCGCGUUGGAUUAGGUAGUUGGUGGGGUAACGGCCUACCAAGCCGACGAUCCAUAGCUGGUUUGAGAGGAUGAUCAGCCACACUGGGACUGAGACACGGCCCAGACUCCUACGGGAGGCAGCAGUGGGGAAUCUUGGACAAUGGGGGCAACCCUGAUCCAGCCAUGCCGCGUGAUCGAUGAAGGCCUUAGGGUUGUAAAGAUCUUUCAGCUGGGAAGAUAAUGACGGUACCAGCAGAAGAAGCCCCGGCUAACUCCGUG